rnacentral:tRNA from 1 species
GUCCGAGUAGCUUAAAUUUAAAGCUUUACAUUGAAGCUGUAGUUAUGAUUAUUUAUAUCCUCUGAUA